rnacentral:rRNA from 1 species
AUCGAACGCUGGCGGCAUGCCUUACACAUGCAAGUCGAACGGCAGCACGGGUGCUUGCACCUGGUGGCGAGUGGCGAACGGGUGAGUAAUACAUCGGAACGUACCUUAUCGUGGGGGAUAACGCAGCGAAAGCUGUGCUAAUACCGCAUACGCCCUGAGGGGGAAAGCGGGGGAUCGCAAGACCUCGCGCGAUUAGAGCGGCCGAUGCCUGAUUAGCUAGUUGGUGGGGUAAAAGCCCACCAAGGCGACGAUCAGUAGCUGGUCUGAGAGGACGAUCAGCCACACUGGGACUGAGACACGGCCCAGACUCCUACGGGAGGCAGCAGUGGGGAAUUUUGGACAAUGGGGGCAACCCUGAUCCAGCAAUGCCGCGUGAGUGAAGAAGGCCUUCGGGUUGUAAAGCUCUUUUGUCAGGGAAGAAACACCGGCUCUAACACAGUCCAGGAAUGACGGUACCUGAAGAAUAAGCACCGGCUAACUACGUGCCAGCAGCCGCCGUAA